CCAUCGACCAGAGGUCGCGUGAAACAUCAGUACUCUUUCGCAGCUUAAGCAGAUGGACGGCACCACGGAAGAGGAAAGGGGAUCACGCCGAAACCGGAGCGGGGCCGCCCCCUCCCCCGGUUGGGCCUUGACUGAACAAGCCAAGGACUGUCACCGUCGUCCGAUUUGCGACGGUGGAGCGCUUUCGAUGA
rfam:Parascardovia denticolens DSM 10105 chromosome, whole genome shotgun sequence.